AUGCUUUCUCCCUCCUCCUCAGCCACCAGAAAUUACCGCAAGGGGUGCGGACCACUCAGCACCAGGACAGCAUGCGGUCAGGUCCUACACACAGAGCUUUGCAGGUAUACAUUUCAAAGAAUCACGACUAAGAACAGAUCAUUUGAAAAGCACCUGAAACCACCCUCUCAAGUUAUUAGCACGGCUACAGCACAGCGGGAUGAAAACCUUUUAAGGCUACUGUGUGUGUGCAGCCAUAGAGAUGCUCCAAGCUGAAUUAAAAAGAGAAGUUCUAACCACCAGCCUGACACACUUGGCUUGCGACACGUACCAGUAGGGAACUGCUGAAUAGGCACAGAGGGCACCUGCACGCCUUCAGACCAGUCCGCCACCUCAGGCUGAGUAGCAGUGAACUCAGGAGCAGGAGCUGUCCAUUCACCCUGAAAUUCCUCCUUGGUCACGGCCUUUUCAGCUGCAGCCUGCUCUUCCUUUUCAAUCUGGUUUAGAAAAGAUUUUUUAGUUUAUAGAGCGUGACAAAUACUUACAAGAAGCAGACUAUCAAGUCCAGUUGCUAUGUGACCACAAGCCUUUGUAGAGGAAGCUUACCUCUUCAGGAUCUCUGUAGAAGUAGAGAUCAGGCAUGACCUCCCACGGGUGCUCCCGGGAGAUGGUGCCACGCAUGCGCAAAACCUCCCUGGCGAGCAUCCACCACAUCAGACCCACUGAGUGAGCUCCCUGCAAAAGUGACAGGUUGUAAAUGUCCAUCCACAGAUGACUGGGUAAGGAAGAUGUGCUAUAUUUAUACAAUGGAGUAUUACUCAGCCUUAAAAAAGAAUACAAUGCCAUUUGCAUCAACAUGGAUGGACCUGGAGAUUGUCAUUCUAAGUGAAUCCAGAAAGAGAAAGAAAAAUACAUGAAAUCACUCACAUGUGGAAUCUUAAAACAAAAAGACGAACUUAUUUAUAAAACAGAAAGGCUCAUAGAAAACAAGCUUAUGGUUAUCAAAGGGGAAAGGAGGGGGGCAGGGAUAAACCAGGAGUUCAAGAUUUACAGAUACUGAUAUAUAUAAAAUAGACAAAUACAUACUGUAUAGCAUAGGGAACUAUAUUCAGUAUCUUGUAAUAACGUAUGGUGAAAGAGUAUGAAAACGAAUAUAUGUAUGUACACGUAUGACUGAAGCAUUAUGCUGUGCACCAGAAACUGACAACAUGGUAAACUGAUUAUAUACUUCAAUAAAAAAUAUAUAUUAAAAGUGCCAGACUGUGAUUAGAAAGUGACACCCAGCCAACCCCAGUGAGCACCUCUCUAUUCCACCUAAUCUGUCCCCACAUCAUCUAGGUCCCCUGGCACCAUGACAACAGAUAUGGCUCUUCAUUCGACAGUUUUUAUUUUUACACCAAGCUUACUCUAUAAAUCAGUGAUUCUCAACCUUGAUUGCCACUGGAAUCAUGAGGAUUAAUCAGAAUUCCACUCUAGGCAACGAAAUGAAUUACCUGGAGUCAGUGCUUCAACACUGGUAGAGCUAAAAAACAAAAACUCUGCCUGAUUCUUUUAUGGAAUCAGGGUUCUGAAACCAGUGACAAACUGGACCAAUGUGAACCAUAUGCGACCCACCUUUUUAGGAUCUCAGAGCAAGAUCCAUCAAGUUGGUCUGAAAACAGAAAGGCCAAGUAAUGCCCGAGAGACCCAGACAGAGUAAGAAAUAAUGGAGAAAAGCAGAAGAAAACAGAUCAUUUAAAAAUGUUCACCUCUCAUACAUUAAAAAGGGACCUGUAGCAAGUAUUACUGUCAAACGCCACUCAUUGGGCCAGAGACCCGCGUGGUGUUCGUGAGAAACUUGCCCCUCGUGUAGCACACUACCUACACCUGUGAGUUCACCGGCCAACCGGUGGCCUCAACCCCAAGCUCUAACAAUGUGCAGAGGAACAGCUGUUUCUAGAGCACUCUUCUCGAGCUCUAGUAUAAAUCAUAAAACCGUUACCUUGUUGUUGCACGGGAUGGCAAUGUCCACGUAACGCAGAGGGGAGUCCGUGUUACACAGGGCAAUGGUAGGCAGGUUAACGUAAGAUGCCUCGGUGAGAGGCUGGUGGUCGGCUCUGGGAUCGGUAACCACCAGAAGUCUCGGCUCCCGGAAAGCUGCCUGGAUCUGGUUAGUGAAGGUUCCAGGCGUGAAGCGGCCAGCAAUAGGCGUGGCUCCAGUGGCAGCAGCAAACUUCAGCACAGCUCGCUACAAUUAAUAUUAAGAGUUAGCAGCCCUCAGGAGACGGUGCCACAGGAAGUAGCCUAUGUAGUCAGAACCCCCCAAAAUCCCUUCCUCAAAAACAAGCAUGAAAUCAAACACCUAAAGCACCCAGUAAUUCUACGCCUUCCAUUUAUUAACUGAAAAAUUGUAAAACCAGAGCCAGAAAACAUGCCAAGCCCGGCCCCUGCCCUAGCCCCAGCCCCUCCGCCUGGGCUACUCUGCCCCCGCCCCCAGGCAUCUGGCUCACUGGCCUCCUCCUCACAUCUGGUGGAUCCGGAGCCAACUAGCCUGGUUCAAAGUAUCAAGUAGGCCACUUUGUGACUUGGGCAAGUUCCUCACAGGAUUGUAAAAAUCGCAUGAAUCAGUACAACACACACGAGUGCCUGGCAUCCAGCGAGCACUUGUGUACUCUGGUCGAAUUUCACCCCAGCUACCCUGUACAGAGCAGGUACACACCCACCUUCUUCACUCUCCGUUACUUUUCCUCUACAUAAAGCUUACUUUCUGCAUCUCUUCAGUUUUCCUGCUAUAUUCCAAGCACUCAGCAAGCAAUGCCUGGACCAACCUAGACACUCAGUAAAUUUUUGCUGAGUGAUGUGUGAGAAUGGUCACUAAGCUCACUUCUACAGCAGUAAUUAAGAACUGUCAACCAUGCAACAAACCAGAGGCGACCAGUCACAACCCAGCCUCCGGGGAAAUAACCCACUGUAAAAACACAUCUGCAAUUCAUGGGAGCAGUUAGCCUAAGCAACAAAAUAGUGAAAGACCAUCUUACUACGUAAGUG
ensembl:lncRNA